rnacentral:rRNA from 1 species
AGCGGCGGACGGGUGAGUAACACGUGGGCAACCUGCCUGUAAGAUCGGGAUAACGCCGGGAAACCGGGGCUAAUACCGGAUAGUUUUUUCCUCCGCAUGGAGGAAAAAGGAAAGACGGCUUCUGCUGUCACUUACAGAUGGGCCCGCGGCGCAUUAGCUAGUUGGUGGGGUAACGGCUCACCAAGGCAACGAUGCGUAGCCGACCUGAGAGGGUGAUCGGCCACAUUGGGACUGAGACACGGCCCAAACUCCUACGGGAGGCAGCAGUAGGGAAUCUUCCGCAAUGGACGAAAGUCUGACGGAGCAACGCCGCGUGAGUGAAGAAGGCCUUCGGGUCGUAAAACUCUGUUGCCGGGGAAGAACAAGUGCCGUUCGAACAGGGCGGCGCCUUGACGGUACCCGGCCAGAAAGCCACGGCUAACUACGUGCCAGCAGCCGCGGUAAUACGUAGGUGGCAAGCGUUGUCCGGAAUUAUUGGGCGUAAAGCGCGCGCAGGCGGCUUCUUAAGUCUGAUGUGAAAUCUUGCGGCUCAACCGCAAGCGGUCAUUGGAAACUGGGAGGCUUGAGUGCAGAAGAGGAGAGUGGAAUUCCACGUGUAGCGGUGAAAUGCGUAGAGAUGUGGAGGAACACCAGUGGCGAAGGCGGCUCUCUGGUCUGUAACUGACGCUGAGGCGCGAAAGCGUGGGGAGCAAACAGGUAAAAAAUCCCAU